rnacentral:lncRNA from 1 species
AGGCCUGUAGUGGGAGGCUGUGAUCAUCACUUUACGCUCACCCACUCUUGGUUACAGAAUCUGAAGGAGGAGCGUCGAGGGUUUAGGAGUCUCGUCUGCUGGGCUAGGGGGACCAGGGCUACAAACCCUGGUGACCCAGCCUGUCUCACCUUUUGUGGAGGGCUAAGCUCGGAAUCCGAUAGUAGAACCUCCAAGUGUAUAGUAGUUUAAAGGAUUUUGUGAAGUAGAGCCCACUGGAAGAGUUUCCUUGAGGGCGACUUCCGGACUAGUCUGAGAUAGACUACCCCAGUGCCAAGCUGCAGAGGGACAGAUUUGAAAUCAUUGACACCUUCAAAAGCUUGACCAAGGAACUACUGAGACAAGAACAUUUAACCCAGGCUCCUCAGAGAAAUGACCCCCACCGGGUCACUGAUAGAACAUUUUUCAUUGACGGUUCCAACCAGAAUUUGAAGACCAUCCCGCCAGAGAUUUUGGCAUUAAAAGAAUUAGAAGAAGUGCAUCUGGAGAAUAACCAGAUCUCGGAAAUUCCCCAGGGCAUUCAGCACUUAGAGAAAAUCAAGGUCCUCUACCUGCAUAACAACAGCCUGCAAAAUCUGUGCCAGGAGCUGGGGUCGCUGAGCAACCUGGAGUCGCUGGACCUGAGCGGCAACCUGCUGGUCCUCUCCUCGCUGCAGGUCAUCUGCCGCCUCCGCACCCUUCGCGAGCUGAGGCUCUACAACACCGGCCUGACCGAGGUUCCCUCGGGCAUCUGCAAAUCCCUGCACCACCUAGAGCUGUUAGGUCUGUCAGAGAACUACCUGGAAUCGCUGCCCAAGGAAAUCGUGAACCAGACCAAGCUCAGGGAGAUCUACCUGAAGCAGAAUCACUUCGAGAAUUUCCCUUGCGACCUAUGUGUCCUCUGCAACCUGGAGGUGAUCGAUCUGGACGACAACAAGCUGAAGACCAUCCCGGAAGACAUCGGGCACCUAGUGAGGCUGCAGAAGUUCUACGUGGCGUCUAACCACCUGAUGGGUCUACCGGAGUCUCUGAGCCACUGCCGCAAGCUGUCGGUGCUGGAUUUGACCCACAACUCUAUCCAUUCCCUGCCCUACAGCCUGGAGCAACUCACGGAGCUCACGGAGGUGGGGCUGAGUGGCAACCGGCUGGAGAAGGUGCCGCGCCUGCUCUGCAACUGGGUAUCGCUGCAUCUGCUGUAUCUGCGCAACACCAGCCUGCACGGGCUGCGGCGCUCCUUCAAGCACCUGGUCAACCUGCGCUUCCUGGA